CCAAUGCCAUUGUUGAGAUCCCUGUCAUGUUCAUCCUAGUGGGUCUUCUUUAUUUUUUCUAUAAAGCCCGGAGGACUGAUCCUGGAUAUAUUAAGUCUUCAGAAAAAGACAAAAAAGAGGGAGAUUAAACUGCAAUUUUAACUUUUUUGGCAUUGUGGCCACAGAACUGGUGAAUAUUGGCUAUCUGGUGCCCACAGAGAACCAGUGAGUGCUUAUCAGGGCAAGAACCGCAGGUAUUUCCACGUGUUGUUGCUCGGCACUCCAAGUGCUCAGUGUCUGCAAAAGGCCUCACGUACAAAUCUUCAUAGGUCCCAUAAAACGUCAUCCAAGUGCACGCAGAAACUCUUCUGUCUUUCAGAACAUUGCAGCUCUAGCAGAAGCAGGGUGCUUGGACUUCAGAACAUUCUGCACGUCAUGUCUUGUAAGGAAGCCUUUGAGAUCUGUGCACUGCGUUCCUUGUGAUUCAUGUGUAGCCAGAUAUGAUCAGCAUUCUCUGUGAAUUGCACAGUGCACAGACUGCAUUCUUGGGACUGACCUCACAUGAGAGAGUGAACCUCCUGAUGGAGAGCAAAUCUUCUAAGCAUCCUGUUUCACUCAGGAGAAAUCCAUACAAUCUUGGAUGCUUCCAGAAUCUUGCAGACUUCUUUCAAUGCAGAUGUUUUGGUAUGGUCAAACCCAGUGGAGUUGGCUGGACCAAGCAAUACAACGUUCACGUGAUAAAGAAGAAAAACGUUUGCUGUGUAUGAAUUCUUACUUGAUUUCUAAAGCUGCUGAGCUGUGUGAGAAAUAAAACUGGAUGUUUUGUUAAUUUUUAUAUUCUUCCAAAAUCUGCUUGUUUUUAUUUUUUUAUUGUUCUAAAUAUUAAAACUUUCUUGCGUAAGGGACAGCAGAUGCGGGUAUGAAACAACUACUGUGCCUCUUUAUGUACAGCAUGAGCUGACACUUUUUGAAAUGUUAUUUGAAAAAGUGACAAUAUACUUUCUCAAAGGGU